AUUUAGAUCACAAGCAUUCGAUGAUUAUUGUAUUUUAAUUGAGAUUAUUGUCGAACAUUCAGUUGCUUAUGUCCAUACACAAAAUGGUGUAGAGGAGUCGUUUAUUAAAUAUCUAAAACUUAUUUCUAGAUCAUUACUUAUGAAAACAAAACUCUCAACUUCUGUUUGGAAUCAUGUCAUAUUACAUACUGCAUAAUUGGUACGUAUGAAACCAACUAUCAAUUAUCAAUAUUCACUUUUACAACUUACACUUGAUCAUGAACCGAAUAUUUCCCACCUACCAAUUUUUGGUUAUGCUAUCAAAAUCUUCAUUUCAUCCCCACAAUGCACUAGAAUGGGUCCCGAUGAAGACUUUAGAUUUAUGUGAGUUUUGAUUCACCAUCAAUAUUUGAUAUCUUGAACCUUUAACAUGUGAUUUAUUUACUACACAUUUUGUAGAUUGUCAUUUUGAUAAAAAUGACUUUCCUAAUGUUAUGAAGAAAAAACUACAUCAUGAAAAAUAAGGUAAAUUUUUUUUGGAAUGAAACAACUCUAUCUCACUUUGAUCCCGCAACAAUCAAUAUGAGCAAGAGGUUUAAAAAUCAUACAUUUGCAAAGAGUUGGGUAUCAAUUGCCGGAUGUAUUUGUUGACACAAAAGUGACAAAGUCAUAUAUACCAAUAGAAAAAUAUUUCAGCAAAAAUUGAUGUCUCUAUAGGACAAUAUACUGUAGUAAAUGAAUCUCAAAUACGUUAGAAGCGUAUCGAUCAAUUGGUUUAAAACACUCCAUACCUCAGAAAAGAAAUGUACAAGAGAAAAGCCAACAAAAAACUUCAAAAGAAGUAACAUUAGAAAAUAUUAAUCAAUCAAAUAUUGAAAAUAUAGUUCUCGAAGAACCACAUGUGUCUGAAAAUAAUGUGCUUUCAAUAAAUAUGUUAUUUCAUAAAUUAUGAGAACGAAAUAAUAUUGUUAUAGUUAAUAUUUCCGCGUUUAACAUGGCUUUUCAUAUUAUGUAAAAUGAGGAUCAUGAACUACGUUCUGUUGAAAAUUGUCAACAUAGAAAUAAUUUGCCACAGUGGAAAUAAGUCAUACAAAUGGAAUUGAUAUCCAUAGAGCAAUGAAAAGUGUUUGGACCUGUAGUCGAACACCUGAAAAUGUAAUCGCUGUAAAAUACAAAUGAGUUUUUGUAUGAAAAAGAAAUGAAAUUAACAAAAUUACAAGAUACAAAACUCGAUUCGUAGCUCAAUAUUUCCCACAAAGACCAAGAAUUAAUUAUAAGGAAACAUAUUUUCUCGCAAUGAAAACUAUCAAUUGUUAUAUUCUUAAUUAGUUUGAUUGUGUUACAAACGCUUGAUAUGUGACUUAUGAAUGUAAUAACUGCCUAUUGUAUGGUUCACUUGAUAGUGACAUAUAUAUGAAAAUCCUUGAAGGACUUAAAGUGUCAGAAAUAAAUGACAAGUGCAUGAGAACUGUGUUAUCAAUUAAAUUGCAAAGAUCAUUAUAUGGAUUGAAAAAAUCUGGAUACAUGUUAUAUAAUCACCUUAGCGAAUAUUUAUUGAGGGAAUGCUAUAAAAAUCUUGAUGUCCACUCAUGUGAUUUUAUAAAGAAAACAAAUAUUGAAUUUGCAAUUAUGGUAGUUUGUGCUGAUAAUUUAAAUUUAAUUGGAACUUCUGAAAAGCUUAACAAAACUGCAUAUUAUUUAAAAAAUGAAUUUGAGACGAAACAUUUGGGAAGAACUAUGUUUUGUCUUAGGUUGCAAAUGGAACAUUUUGUAGAAUGAUUAUUUAUUCAUCAAUCUACAUAUACACAAAAAGUCUUAAAAUAUUUUUAUAUGAAUAAUGCAUAUCAUUGGUAUCAUUUAUAGUUGUUCGAUCACUUAAUGUAAAAAAGAUCCAUUCCAUCUACUAGAAGAUGGAAAAAAUAUUCUAGGUCCUGAAGUACUAUAAUUUAGUGCAAUUGGAGUCCUAACUUAUCUUGCAAAUUGUACUCAAUUCGACAUUGCUUUUCUGUAAAUCUCCUUGGAACGUAUAGCUCCACACCAGCUCAAAGACAUUAGAAUGGUGUUAAACACAUUUUUUGCUACUUGAAAGGUACUAUUGAUUUAGGAUUAUUUUAUUCUUAAAAGUCGAGAUAUGCAGAUGCAAGUUAUCUUUUUAACCAACAUAUAACUAAAUUACAAAUAGGAUAUGCGUUUACACAUGAAGGAACAACUCUAUCAAAGAGAUUUACGAAUCAAUCUUUGACGGUAAUAUUCUCAAACCAUUAUCAAAUUAUUGCAAUUCAUCAAACAGACAAAGAAUGUAUUUGGUUAAGAAAUAUGACCCAUCAUAUUCAAGAAUUAUGUGGAUUAACUUCAAUAAAAGCUCGUCCAACAAUUUUGAUAAAGACAAUGCAGUUUGUAUUGUACAACUUAAAAGAGACUAUAUUGAAGGUGACAGGACGAAGCAUAUUUAUUCAAUAUUCUUUCGUACACGGGAGUUUCAAAAGAAUAGCGACAAUGAUGUUCAACAAAUUCACUCAAUUGAUAAUGUGAUUGAUUUAUUCAUAAAAGCACUGCUGACAUUUACAUUCAAGAAAUUGGUUCUCGAGAUUGGAAUGCAUCGAGUCAAAAAUUUUCUUUGAU
rnacentral:lncRNA from 1 species